GUCAAAAAUGGUCUUUUCUUAACAUCCUCCUUUGAGAAUAAUCGAACAUUUGAUAAUCAGACAACGUGAGAGGUGAAAGACGUAAGAACAACUAGAGGCCGACGUGAACGUCAAAGUCGAAAGAUAUAUGAAUGAUUGAUGAAAAUCGAAAGUUAGCUAAAGGAUUGACUAAUUAAAUAGGACCAAGGGCGUUCCCAUGGUCCACGAAUCGGUCAACUUAAAAAGAGAAAAAAUCCCUCACCGAAGACCGUGAUGGAAGAACAUCUUCCCUCAAGAUGUCGUGCAUGAAGAUUAACCGCGCGUUGACGACUCUAUCGAGGAGAGUAGAAACUAUGUACCUCGUGGGCCACUAGUUCCCCAGACAUGACCUAAGACUUGUCAUGCUGGUCGAGAACUUUUCAGGAUUCCUCAAUAAUUGGUUAUGUUAAAAACAAUAAAAA